rnacentral:rRNA from 1 species
CAGUCGCCGCGGUAAUACGGGGGGGGCAAGUGUUAUUCGGAAUGACUGGGCGUAAAGGGCACGUAGGCGGUGAAAAGGGUGGAAAGUGAAAGUCGCCAAAACACUGGCGGGGUGCUUUCUUGACCAUUUCACUUGAGUGAGAUAGGGGAGAGUGGAAUUUCGUGUGGAGGGAUCAAAUCCUAAGAUAUACGAAGGAACGCCAACCGCGAAGGCAGCUCUCUGGGUCCCCACUGACGCUGGGGUGCGAAAGCAUGGGGAGCAAACAGGAUCAGAUACCCCCGUAGUCCCUGUCUCUUAUACA